AGGAUGAAUGCUGGCGGCGCGCCUAACACAUGCAAGUCGAGCGGUAAGGCCCUUAGGGGUACACGAGCGGCGGACGGCUGAGUAACGCGUGGGAACAUGCCCCAAAGUGAGGAAUAACUGCCCGAAAGGGUAGCUAAUGCCGCAUAUGAUCUUAGGAUUAAAGGAUUUAUCCGCUUUGGGAGUGGCCUGCGUACGAUUAGAUAGUUGGUGAGGUAAAGGCUCACCAAGUCUACGAUCGUUAACUGUUCUGAGAGGAUGAUCAGUCAGACUGGAACUGAGACACGGUCCAGACUCCUACGGGAGGCAGCAGUGAGGAAUCUUCCACAAUGGGCGAAAGCCUGAUGGAGCGACGCCGCGUGCAGGAUGAAGGCCUUAGGGUUGUAAACUGCUUUUCGUCGGGGACGAGCAAGGACGGUACCCGAGGAAGAAGCCCCGGCUAACUACGCGCCAGCAGCCGC
rnacentral:rRNA from 1 species